UCCCUGGCGCUCGCCUCCCUCCCACCCGGUGCGCGGCGCUCUGGGGCCGGGCGCGGAGGCCGCCGCGGCUCUCCCAGCCGAGCCCGCGCGCCCCUUCUCCCCCGGGCGGGGGUGGGGGCGAGGUGGGGGGGGAGGCGCGGCCCCAGACCCUGCCGGCUCCUUUUGCUGUCCUCCAGCUGUCCCCUCGGCCCCUGGCCGCUUCCCCAUCGGGCAGCGAAACGUACACAAAGAACACGGGAUUCGGGUUAUUUACGAAAUCGUGGUUUUUAAACUGCCGGCUGUGUGACCCGGAGCAAACUGCUCGGCCUCUCGGUGUCAGGGUCCUCGCCCGUAAAGAGACUGGGAAAGAUAAGGGCGAUAAGGCUUUUCGAACACGGGGCCCUGCGCCUGGCACGGCGCGGGCGCGCGGCUCCGUGCGCCCCCCAACCCGCCCGGCGUGCAGCCCGGCCCCGCUCCCGCCCCCCGCCUCGGCCCGACCUGCAGCCGAGAGUCGGGGAAGGCGGGGCGCCCCGGAGCCGCCGACGGCCUCGCGCUCCGAUUUCCUCACCGUACGAAAUGAAAUUCCACAGGGGGAUUCGAGAGGAAAUGAGACCGGGACGCUCCGUGCUUCUCGGCCCGCCGCCCUUCCUGUCUCGGGGACACGGUUUCUAAAUAAGGUAAGUCUAGCAUAUGGCAGAGGCUGGAUGCAAGUUGAAAGGACCUCAGUACCACUCAUGUGGUAAUCAUGUUAUGCCUUGUAUAUACUACCAACCGGUCCUGGGUAAGGGCAAGAAUGGAAUCAACUUUUUUUUUUUUUUUUUUUGCUAUUUGGCUCUGUGCCUAGAAUUGUGUUAGGCACAUAGAAGCUGCAUGGUCUCCAGCCAUCAUCAUAACCUACCAGGGAAGGAGACUCUGUUUGUUCCUCAAAGAAAUGAAGAAACUGAGGUCAGAACCAAAGUGAUUGUUAGAAAAUGAAGGGGAGAAAACAGAGGCUGAAGGGAGGCCUUUGAAAAAUGAAAAAAGUGGGAGUGGUGGGGAGCAGGGUUAUUUCCCCAGAAAAGUUCCCAGCUGGGAAUCUAUGUACUCAGCAGUAGGGUUGAAUCUUCUCUUUAUCUUUGCAGAGUAAUGCAUGAGACCAUUGGCCUACAGAGAUGAAUAAAUGAUGAGUGAAUCAAAUGUAUAGAUGGUUC
rnacentral:lncRNA from 1 species